rnacentral:rRNA from 1 species
AUGAACGCUAGCUACAGGCUUAACACAUGCAAGUCGAGGGGCAUCAGGAAGAAAGCUUGCUUUCUUUGCUGGCGACCGGCGCACGGGUGAGUAACACGUAUCCACCCUGCCCUUUACUCGGGGAUAGCCUUUCGAAAGAAAGAUUAAUACCCGAUGGCAUAAUGAUUCCGCAUGGUUUCAUUAUUAAAGGAUUCCGGUAAAGGAUGGGGAUGCGUUCCAUUAGGUUGUUGGUGAGGUAACGGCUCACCAAGCCUUCGAUGGAUAGGGGUUCUGAGAGGAAGGUCCCCCACAUUGGAACUGAGACACGGUCCAAACUCCUACGGGAGGCAGCAGUGAGGAAUAUUGGUCAAUGGGCGCUAGCCUGAACCAGCCAAGUAGCGUGAAGGAUGAAGGCUCUAUGGGUCGUAAACUUCUUUUAUAUAAGAAUAAAGUGCAGUAUGUAUACUGUUUUGUAUGUAUUAUAUGAAUAAGGAUCGGCUAACUCCGUGCCAGCAGCCGCGGUAAUACGGAGGAUCCGAGCGUUAUCCGGAUUUAUUGGGUUUAAAGGGAGCGUAGGUGGACUGGUAAGUCAGUUGUGAAAGUUUGCGGCUCAACCGUAAAAUUGCAGUUGAUACUGUCAGUCUUGAGUACAGUAGAGGUGGGCGGAAUUCGUGGUGUAGCGGUGAAAUGCUUAGAUAUCACGAAGAACUCCGAUUGCGAAGGCAGCUCACUGGACUGCAACUGACACUGAUGCUCGAAAGUGUGGGUAUCAAACAGGAUUAGAUACCCUGGUAGUCCACACAGUAAACGAUGAAUACUCGCUGUUUGCGAUAUACAGUAAGCGGCCAAGCGAAAGCAUUAAGUAUUCCACCUGGGGAGUACGCCGGCAACGGUGAAACUCAAAGGAAUUGACGGGGGCCCGCACAAGCGGAGGAACAUGUGGUUUAAUUCGAUGAUACGCGAGGAACCUUACCCGGGCUUAAAUUGCAGUGGAAUGAUGUGGAAACAUGUCAGUGAGCAAUCACCGCUGUGAAGGUGCUGCAUGGUUGUCGUCAGCUCGUGCCGUGAGGUGUCGGCUUAAGUGCCAUAACGAGCGCAACCCUUAUCUUUAGUUACUAACAGGUCAUGCUGAGGACUCUAGAGAGACUGCCGUCGUAAGAUGUGAGGAAGGUGGGGAUGACGUCAAAUCAGCACGGCCCUUACGUCCGGGGCUACACACGUGUUACAAUGGGGGGUACAGAAGGCAGCUAGCGGGUGACCGUAUGCUAAUCCCAAAAUCCUCUCUCAGUUCGGAUCGAAGUCUGCAACCCGACUUCGUGAAGCUGGAUUCGCUAGUAAUCGCGCAUCAGCCACGGCGCGGUGAAUACGUUCCCGGGCCUUGUACACACCGCCCGUCAAGCCAUGGGAGCCGGGGGUACCUGAAGUACGUAACCGCAAGGAUCGUCCUAGGGUAAAACUGGUGACUGGGGCU